rnacentral:rRNA from 1 species
GCCGAACCGUGCGAACGUUGUUCGGAAUCACUGGGCUUAAAGGGCGCGUAGGCGGGUGACCAAGUCCGGGGUGAAAUCUUUCAGCCCAACUGGAAAACGGCUUUUGAUACUGGUCACCUGGAGGGGGGUAGGGGCAUGUGGAACUUCCGGUGGAGCGGUGAAAUGCGUAGAUAUCGGAAGGAACGCCGGUGGCGAAAGCGACGUGCUGGACCCUUUCUGACGCUGAGGCGCGAAAGCCAGGGGAGCAAACGGG